rnacentral:misc_RNA from 1 species
CCGAGUUUACAAGCUCCCAAACCCCAUGUGAACGUUACCAAACUGUUGCCUCGGCGGGAUCUUCUGCCCCGGGUGCGUCGCAGCCCCGGACCAAGGCGCCCGCCGGAGGGACAAAAACCAAAACUCUUUGUAUACCCCCUCGCGGGUUUUUUAUAUCUGAGCCUUCUCGGCGCUCUCAGUAGGGCGUUCGAAAAUAAAUCA